rnacentral:snRNA from 1 species
UAUGGUGCAGAAAAACCCAAA